rnacentral:snRNA from 1 species
GUGCUCACUUCAGCAGCACAUAUACUAAAAUUGGAACAAUACAGAGAAGAUUAUGUCCCCUGCACAAGGAUGACACACAAAUUUGUGAAGCGUUCCAUAUUUUU